rnacentral:rRNA from 1 species
CCAAUAGCGUAUAUUAAAGUUGUUGCAGUUAAAAAGCUCGUAGUUGAAUUUCGGGGUUAGUAAGUUGGUCAUGCCUUUGGUAUGUACUGGCUUUACUGAUUCCUCCUUCUUGACGAACUGUAAUGUCAUUAAUUUGGUGUUGCAAGGAAUCAGGACUGUUACUUUGAAAAAAUUAGAGUGUUUAAAGCAGGCUUAAGCUUGAAUACAUUAGCAUGGAAUAAUGAAAUAGGACGUUAAUCCUAUUUUGUUGGUUUCUAGGAUCGACGUAAUGAUUAAUAGGGAUGGUUGGGGGCAUUAGUAUUCAAUUGUCAGAGGUGAAAUUCUUGGAUUUAUUGAAGACUAACUACUGCGAAAGCAUUUGCCAAGGAUGUUUUCAUUAAUCAAGAACGAAAGUUAGGGGAUCGAAGACGAUCAGAUACCGUCGUAGUCUUAACCAUAAACUAUGCCGACUAGGGAUCGGAUGAUGUUAAUUUUUUAAUGACUCA